rnacentral:piRNA from 1 species
UCACAAACAGAAGGCCGCUCCUGUGGUCC